UACGUAGGCAGCGAGCGUUGUUCGGAAUUACUGGGCGUAAAGAGUGUGUAGGCGGUGCUCCCAGUCUGUUGUGAAAUCUCCCGGCUUAACUGGGAGGGUGCAGCGGAAACUAGAGUGCUAGAGGGUGGGAGAGGUAAGCGAAUUCCUGGUGUAGCGGUGAAAUGCGUAGAUAUUGGGAGGAACACCAGUGGCGAAGGCGGCUCACUGGACCGGAACUGACGCUGAGGCGCGAAAGCGUGGGGAGCAAACGGG
rnacentral:rRNA from 1 species